GCGCUGCCUUUGAGCUCCCGGCGCUCCUCCACGUGGCGCCGGGGGUUAAGCUGCGGCGCCAUAUCAUAUUGCUAGCGCAUAACUGGGGCCGCCUGCCCAUCGCGGACGGUCCUUUUAACUGCUAGCUACAGAU